rnacentral:rRNA from 1 species
UACGUAGGGUGCGAGCGUUGUCCGGAUUUAUUGGGCGUAAAGAGCGUGUAGGCGGCUUGGUAGGUCCGCUGUGAAAAACCCGAGGCUCAACCUCGGGCCUGCAGUGGGUACGGGCAGACUAGAGUGCGGUAGGGGAAAUUGGAAUUCCUGGUGUAGCGGUGGAAUGCGCAGAUAUCAGGAGGAACACCAAUGGCGAAGGCAGAUCUCUGGGCCGUAACUGACGCUGAGGAGCGAAAGCAUGGGGAGCGAACAGG